GUGGGGAAUCUUGCGCAAUGGGCGAAAGCCUGACGCAGCCAUGCCGCGUGAAUGAUGAAGGUCUUAGGAUUGUAAAAUUCUUUCACCGGGGACGAUAAUGACGGUACCCGGAGAAGAAGCUCCGGCUAACUUCGUGCCAGCAGCCGCGGUAAUACGAAGGGGGCUAGCGUUGCUCGGAAUUACUGGGCGUAAAGGGCGCGUAGGCGGACAGCUUAGUCAGAGGUGAAAGCCCAGGGCUCAACCUUGGAAUUGCCUUUGAUACUGGCUGUCUUGAGUUUGGGAGAGGUGAGUGGAACUCCGAGUGUAGAGGUGAAAUUCGUAGAUAUUCGGAGGAACACCAGUGGCGAAGGCGGCUCACUGGCUCGGUACUGACGCUGAGGUGCGAAAGCGUGGGGAGCAAACAGGAUUAGAAACCCGGGUAGUCC
rnacentral:rRNA from 1 species